rnacentral:tRNA from 1 species
UCCCUCAUAGAUCAGUUGCUAAAUCAUCUGCCUGCAAUGCAGGAGACCUGGGUUCAAUUCCUGGUUUGGGAA